rnacentral:rRNA from 1 species
UACGAAGGGGGCUAGCGUUGCUCGGAAUCACUGGGCGUAAAGCGUACGUAGGCGGCUUUGUAAGUUAGAGGUGAAAGCCCCCGGCUCAACUGGGGAGGGUCAUUCGAUACUGUUCGACUCGAAGGCAGGAGAGGGAAGCGGAAUUCCCGGUGUAGUGGUGAAAUGCGUAGAUAUCGGGAGGAACACCAGUGGCGAAGGCGGCUUCCUGGCCUGUUCUUGACGCUGAGGCGCGAAAGCUAGGGGAGCAAACGGG